AUUUGCCAUUGCGCGACACUAAAUAACGGCAACGGGUCAAAUCUACAAAAUUUAGUCCACACUGUACGUAACAGAUUAUAGUUUUGGGAACAGAAAGCUGUAUUGGUAUCAAAUGUUUAAUCGGUUAGAAAAUGUGCAGAAUUUCGGCGGCCUUAUUGAUUUCCCCACUGGCUUCCAGUGGAAAUUGCCAAGCGGAUGCUUUCACAUGUAUAGAUCGGGUAAAAUCUCUUUAUUAUUCUAUCUGUGGUAAAAUGGCCCCCCGGUGUGUUGACUGGGUACAGUAUGCGCUCUGGGAGUGAUUAUUCCUACUUACGCGUCCUCGUGUGGAUCCACUCCCUCCUGAUAGUCGAAGCUGAAGUCUUCGUCUGCAAGAUCAACAACAGGAUCUGGGAGUGACCAUGGAGGAACGUCUCCUAUCACCACAGAAGGGCCAUCUUCCAACACCCUCAAACCACUUCUCAUCAGCAAGCUUUCCAACUGUCCAACCAAAACCACCACUGCUUUGCCUACUAGUAUAUUCCCAACAGUCAUCUAGAACAGUAACAGUGGGAUGCACAAACUCACAGCCUUUCAACCUAACCCAAUAAGUUAAUGACAAUGUUUUUAUGCCGUGCAGUACCAGUCAAAAGUUUGGACACACGCACUCAUUCCAGGGUUUUUCUUUAUUUUUACUAUUUUCUACAUUGUAGAUUAAUAGUGAAGACAUCAAAGCUAUGAAAUAACACAUAUGCAAUCAUGUAGUAACCAAAAAAGUGUUAAAUAAAUCAAAAUAUAUUUUA